rnacentral:rRNA from 1 species
GAUCCUGGCUUAGGAUGAACGCUAGCUACAGGCUUAACACAUGCAAGUCGAGGGUAACGUGAGGGAAGCUUGCUCCCUGACGACGACCGGCGCACGGGUGAGUAACGCGUAUCCAACCUGCCCAUGACUCAGGGAUAACCUUCCGAAAGGGAGCCUAAUACCUGAUGUUGUGUGACGAUGGCAUCAGAAUCACACCAAGGAUUUCAUCGGUCAUGGAUGGGGAUGCGUAGGAUUAGGUAGACGGCGGGGUAACGGCCCACCGUGCCGACGAUCCUUAGGGGUUCUGAGAGGAAGGUCCCCCACACUGGUACUGAGACACGGACCAGACUCCUACGGGAGGCAGCAGUGAGGAAUAUUGGUCAAUGGUCGGAAGACUGAACCAGCCAAGUAGCCGUGCAGGAUGACGGCCCUAUGGGUUGUAAACUGUCUUUUAUGAGGGGAUAAAGUUCGGGACUUGUCCCGUUUUGCAGGUACCUCAUGAAUAAGGACCGGCUAAUUCCGUGCCAGCAGCCGC